AACCUUAUCAUAAUGUCGAUUAUAUAAGUCAGACGGGAGCCAUCACGAAAAAAAUAAGAAGCAAAACCCUAAAGCUCUCUCUCUAAGUCGGCAGCCAACCAAGGAAUCUCACCCUCAUCCGACAACAGUCUAAAGCUAGGCGGGUCUGUAAAUCUGCUGAAGCAAUAUGACUUUGUUGCCGGAUGAAGGAUAUGUCAGCAACCAAAUGUUUUGAGAGGUAAUUGACCAGAGAUUCUUAACAUCUUUUGAUUAGUGGGGCUUUUCAUAUCAGUUUAGAGGUAUGGCAUCAUGGACUCGAGGAGCAGACCUGGUUUCAUCUUCCUAAUUCCAUCUCUGUCCUUGUUUAUUCAUGGGAGAAGUUUUUAGUUUGGUAGAGAUGUUGUUUGGUCUCUAAGUUCAUGGCGAUGAUGGAGUUUCUUGACUUCUUCUCCCAGGGGUGUGCUUGUGGCUGCGUGGAUCGGAACAAGAUGGCAACGUCUCACGAAGGCAACUUCAUCUCUCACGGCAGCGACGGCUACGAUGUUCUUCUUCCAUGUCCUUCCUGCAACUAUGAAGGAAAAUCGAGCUAGGUCAACUGUUUUGAGUUUAGGUUUAGUUUCUUUUUGGGCUUUGGGUUGCUUUUUUAGUUUAUAGUUUUCUAUUACAAUAAGUUCUUUUCAUUAUGACUCUAUUUCAUUAGGACUCUAAUUAGCACUUUUGUGCCUAAGCACUUUUUUGUGUUUCAUGACGUCUUGGCGUUAUGAGUCUAUUUUUCUAUUAGUCUUUUUCUAGUUUUCUAGGUGGGAUCUUAGUCUAUAAUCUAUUUUCUAUUAUAUUGUAGGCUCACUUGUAGGCCGAAAUGUAAAUGAGGAUACAACCUUCAUACGAAUUUUAUGAUCUUGUUUGUCUUUUAUACGCAACAAAUCAAUUUGUAUUGUACCGUUUACUUGAAUAUUAAUGACAAAAUUGUCUUUGAGUUCAACUAAAAAUAAUGUCGAUUAUAUGUAAACGGUUUAAAAUACACAAGUGAAAACAUUUUUCAACUUCGAUUCUUUCGUUUUGGUUAGAUGUACUCAUAAUUUGUUCUUAACUCUCAUUUUUUAUUUUUGAUCAUCUUUA
rnacentral:lncRNA from 1 species